AUGGCCGGCACGGUGGAGGACAGCGGGAAGACGGCGCCGUCCUCUCCGGCCUGGCUCCACGGCGCCGACCUGGGCCUGAGGGUGCUGCUGUUCGCCGUCUCGCUGUCGGGGCUCGUCGUGCUGGUCACCGCCAAGCAGACGGAGAUCGUGCCCUUGCAAAGACUCGCCAGCGCUCAUGUACGUGAGUCGAUCGUCGUGACAUACGUCUCUCCUCUCCUACGUUAUCUUCUCGUGGCGCUGUGCAUGACGAGCUUGUAUAGCCUUCUGACGGCCGCCAGCUCCGUCAAGUCCAUGUCAAGCUCGGCUUCCUGUGCCAAGGGGAUCUUCGUCCUCAUUCUGCUUGAUGUGGUUUACGCGGGCAUCAUGGCGUCGGCGACGGGCACGGCGGGGGCCGUGGCCUGGGUGGGGCUGAAGGGGAACUCGCACACGCGGUGGAACAAGAUCUGCAACAUCUACGACAAGUUCUGCCGCCACAUCGGCAGCGCCACCUGCCUCGGCCUCGUCGCCUCCAUCAUCCUCGUCCUCCUCGUCGUCCUCAACGCCUACUCCCUCUACCGGAGAAGCCGCUGA
rnacentral:rRNA from 1 species